ACCUUGUCCCCAUCUUAUUACUCUUAGACAAAACUUCUAAAGCAUGGAUUAGAGCCUAGAGGGUUCACAAAUCUGUUGUAGAAAAAUAUUAUAGUAUUGCACCAUUCACAUGCAAAGAACUGGAGAGGUAUCAGUAUAAGUUACAGUACCACCUUUUUUACAUGGAAUUUUUGUUUCGAAUUUUGUAAGGAUUUAAGAGGAAAAAAUUCAGCAGGACCAAUUUACAUAUUUCAGAUGAUGGUCUACCUUACCAUUCCGAUAGAAAUUAAACUCAUUUCGAAUUGCUAAGCUAAUAAAUUCUAUUUUUGGGACCGACUGCUAGCUGACUGAUUUACUGAAGAAAAAUUUACUAGAAGUGGCACAUUUUUCCUCACUGUUAAGCUUCAACCGAAUAAAUCUAGAAGGGGAGCUGGCCAUGGAAUUCGGAAGGACAAAGACUCAAGAACAGAUACAUAAGGCACUCCAAUACGAUUUGUUGUAGCUCCAUACAAGAAAGCUUUAAAAAAGAUCCUGUUACAAUUCAUCUAGAUUCUGUUACUUGAAUGGAUGGUCGGAUGCAGAUUUAAAUGUGUUAUUUGUUAUAUACCUUGUGUCCAGUCCUGACACUUCAGAGGUUUUGCUUGAUCCUGUUGUAAUAUCAAGUCUUCUGCUCUGCUUUUGAUA